CCUCACAGUCCACCGGGGAAGGACGACGCUCAUCACACUGAUUAAAUUACGGGAGGAAAUAAUAACAAUUCAUUAAGGCUUCUACAAAUUAAUUUGAAAACCUUUCACCCCUUUGUGUUUUAAUUAGUUUAACGUCAAAUAAAACGAUGAAGGACAGAACAUGAACAAAUAAAAACAAUGAGAAUGAAAGGUGGGAAAGGAGUUAUUCUAACAGCAUGUGUUCAGACGUCACAAACAAACGGGAGGCUAAUGGUAGACAAAGUGUCGGAAACAAUGUGUGUUUAGGACAAAAAAAAGGAAAUGGAAUUUGGCGUCCAGGGAGCUGGUUAAAAUUAACAAGCAAAGCUUUAUUCUCCUUUUUAUAUCACAGGACAAAAGUCAAGCAGGGAUGGGAAUGAGGAGAUCGGGGAAAAUAUGAAGCCAAAAUCCCAUGCCGUGGAGUGAAUGCUGGAAGUCAAUGACUCAAUGCGCUCUGCUGGGAUUCCUUGGAUAGAAACAUUUUAAACUCAUUUGAAUAGUGAACUGAACUUAAUGCACUGUUUGACAACUAAGACCAAAUGUAAUGUAUGUGUGGUUGAAUUGAAAUGACUUUUUUCGUAAAGUGCCUCGAGAUGACAUUUGUUGAGAAUUCAUAAAUAAAUAAACUAAAUGGAAUUGAAUCAUUUUUGACUAAACUAAGAAAGCAGACUGCUGGCUUUUGAGUGGAGUGCUUUUUAAAGUGCUGCUUGAAGUCACUCUACUUCUGCAGCUACCCCUAGAAAACAAGCACAGCCAUCAUCAUUGCUGUGCAUUGAAGGGCUCCACAGGCACAUUCUCCUAAUUCUUGUUAAGUAAGGUUUACCGUUCAAUCACCUAAUCAUUACGUGCAUCACUGUCUGCUAAUGAAAACAUAACAUUUAAGACUAGAAUAUUACAAUAAAACUGAAUACAG